rnacentral:rRNA from 1 species
CUAUCAUUAACUGAAUCCAUAGGUUAAUGAGGCGAACCGGGGGAACUGAAACAUCUAAGUACCCCGAGGAAAAGAAAUCAACCGAGAUUCCCCCAGUAGCGGCGAGCGAACGGGGAGGAGCCCAGAGCCUGAAUCAGUGUGUGUGUUAGUGGAAGCGUCUGGAAAGGCGCGCGAUACAGGGUGACAGCCCCGUACACAAAAAUGCACAUGCUGUGAGCUCGAUGAGUAGGGCGGGACACGUGGUAUCCUGUCUGAAUAUGGGGGGACCAUCCUCCAAGGCUAAAUACUCCUGACUGACCGAUAGUGAACCAGUACCGUGAGGGAAAGGCGAAAAGAACCCCGGCGAGGGGAGUGAAAAAGAACCUGAAACCGUGUACGUACAAGCAGUGGGAGCACAGAGCAAUCUGUGUGACUGCGUACCUUUUGUAUAAUGGGUCAGCGACUUAUAUUCUGUAGCAAGGUUAACCGAAUAGGGGAGCCGAAGGGAAACCGAGUCUUAACUGGGCGUUAAGUUGCAGGGUAUAGACCCGAAACCCGGUGAUCUAGCCAUGGGCAGGUUGAAGGUUGGGUAACACUAACUGGAGGACCGAACCGACUAAUGUUGAAAAAUUAGCGGAUGACUUGUGGCUGGGGGUGAAAGGCCAAUCAAACCGGGAGAUAGCUGGUUCUCCCCGAAAGCUAUUUAGGUAGCGCCUCGUGAAUUCAUCUCCGGGGGUAGAGCACUGUUUCGGCAAGGGGGUCAUCCCGACUUACCAACCCGAUGCAAACUGCGAAUACCGGAGAAUGUUAUCACGGGAGACACACGGCGGGUGCUAACGUCCGUCGUGAAGAGGGAAACAACCCAGACCGCCAGCUAAGGUCCCAAAGUCAUGGUUAAGUGGGAAACGAUGUGGGAAGGCCCAGACAGCCAGGAUGUUGGCUUAGAAGCAGCCAUCAUUUAAAGAAAGCGUAAUAGCUCACUGGUCGAGUCGGCCUGCGCGGAAGAUGUAACGGGGCUAAACCAUGCACCGAAGCUGCGGCAGCGACACUGUGUGUUGUUGGGUAGGGGAGCGU